GUCACACAAAAAUCAACAACUCAUUCCUUCAGCACAAACGACGAGUUGAAAUGAGGACUACCCAUGUGUGGAUUGUGGCCCUAGUCUUUAUUGUGCUAGGAUCAGGUACUCAUUUGUUCAUGUAACACAUUUCUGUAUAAUCUCUCCCAGCAAAUAAUGGCCAUGUUGUGAUCGUACCUUUUCUUCAUCGCAAGAUUUUGCAGGCUUGGUAGUAGAGGCAUCAAGAGAUGGCAUUAAACUCAUCACAUGUGUGACAAAAAAAAUCGCAAAUCCACCAUGUGAUAACAAAACUUGCGAAGACGCAUGCUCCAAACGUACAGGGCAAUACAAAUCUGGCGAGUGUGUUGCUGAGGGUUGCAAGUGCACAUUUUGCAUAGACCAUCCUCCAACCAUCCACAGUAAUGAAAAAAAUGAAUACUAACUAGGUAAGAUGGGAUAUUGUGUUGAGUGAAUAAGGUGACGAAAGCACAUAUGGUGUACCAGCAAGGUUGUUCACACGUAUAAGCCAUAUGAAAGAGCACUAAAUCUAGUCUUUCUUCUUGAAUUAUCUAGAAUUAAGAAGUGGUCUUUAAAAUUUGAAGAAAUGGUCCAUAAAAUUUUUGUGGUUGAUUAUUUUCCAUUAUUUUCAUUAAUUUUUAAAUGAAUUCGUGUCGACAGUGAA
rnacentral:lncRNA from 1 species